rnacentral:misc_RNA from 1 species
UACGGCUAACGCAACGGAUCAACAGAUUCCGCAGAUCAAGCAACAACCACAAGAGGCAGCAACUAACGCAAAUCAAAUUGAAAUUCCUUUUAUUAUUUCUAACCUUUGUAAAGUAAUAGAGAGGGAAAGAGCGUAAGAGAGAGAGAGAGAGGGAGACCGUAUCAUGUCCUUUCGCUCAAGACCGCGCACACAGGCGCCGCUCGCCAGUCGACGGCGCUCGCUCUCCUCCAGCUCGCGCAUGGGCGCCACAGGAGCUGGAGGCAGCAGUUCCGCCUCCGCUGGCGGAUACAACUACAACGGCAGCAGCAGCAGCUACAAUGCCAGGCCCCUGAGCACGGGCUACUAUCCGAGCAGCAGCAGCAACGGCGGCGCUGGCAGUGGCGGCUAUCAGAGCCCCUACACCAGUAUCUACAGCUCCAGGGAGAGUCUAUAUGGAGGCGGGGGUAGCAGCAGUAUUGGUGGGCGUGGUGCGGCAGGGUCGUACUAUUCGAAUGCCGCUGGUGGCUAUGACAGUUCGCGCUACGCCUAUCCGAGCACCUCGACGUCCAGCUACGGCAGCGACCAUCGCUAUGUCAGUCCCUACUCCAGCAGCUAUGACAACGGUGUGACUACCGCCUCGCUCAGCUUCAAGUCGCCGGGUCUGAGCUCCUCCAAUUCGUUCAAGGGCUCGGCCAGUGCGCGUCUGCUCAAGGCCAAGUCCUUGUCCACAUCCAACAGCAGCCUCAAUGCGCCAACCAGCGCCGGCGCCACCGUGGCGGCCAUUGCGGCCACGCGCAGCAACUCGCUGCGGGAACAGGAGCGCAAAUCGCGCAAUCGCACACGUUCCCGCAGCGCUGCUCAGCGUUCGAUCAGUGCCUCCUCGGAGAAGAGCGAGGGCUACGAAAGCGGCAGUGAACGCACCUCACGCUCUCGCACCGCGAGCACAGCGACAACGAGCACCGGCAGCGAUUCAAAGAGUUCCAGCAACAACGACAAAGCGGAAAACGGCGAUGGCAUCGACUACAAGGCGCUCUGGGAAGCGGCCAAACUGGAGAACGAUAAGCUCAAGCAAAUGCUCAAGCAGAAGGACGACGAAGCUGUACAGACGCGUGCGACGCUCGAGCGCUUCGCCAAUGCCACCACUAAAAAUUCACUCUCUGAGAUUGAGAAACGUGAAAGAAGAGCUAUGGAACGCAAGCUUUCCGAAUUGGAAGAAGAGCUCAAGCUAUUGCAGAAGCUAAAGACUGAGAACGACCGCCUGCGUGCCGAGAAUCGAGCCCUCACGCGUGUCGUCUCUAAGUUGACCACCUCGGCCCAGAGUCAGCUGGCCAAAAGCAAAUAGGCAACAAUUUACAACAAACAAAAGAAAUAAACAAAAAAAUAAAAAAUAGAAUAUCCUAAAAUAUUGAAAAAACAGCAUAAUCGAAUAUCGUAAUCGUAAUCGUAAUCGCAAACGCAAACCGCUAUCGUAAUCGUAAUCGUAAUCGUUAUCGUUUCUUUAAAUACUCGAGCUGCACACAUAUAUUUACAUACGUACACGCAUACCUAGUUAAAUUCUUAGAUAUCGUACACCCAUCGUCUAGCCUAGAGAUAUUCAGAAACCAUUUUGAUGAACAACUUUAAAGAUUCUUCCACCAUCGAUAUUGUUUAUUAUCAUUAUCAUUAUUAUUAUUAUGAGACAAACAACAACAAGAACAAUUUGCAUUGUUAUAUUGAGCGCAACGUGUAACAAUAAUUAAAUGUACUGUAGUUAAAUUAAGUUUAUAACUUUUGGGGGCAACGAGCACUUAGCAGGCAAAUUUCUAUUUUUGCACCGCUGUACUUUUAGCCCAGAGCAAAAUAAUAUAUGACACAUACACACAUAUUGUAUUGGAGUUAUAUGAAAUAAUACAGAAUAUAACGUUACAAGAUAUAGCACAACAUAUGGCAACUAUAUAUACACACACAUAAGUAUCGUAUACAUACGUUUAAUCAAAAUCAAAAGCUACAUCAAAAAUCGUAAAUCGUAACUCAACGCAACCCAAGGAUUUGCCCAAAUGCUCAACUAUGCUGCCCACGCACUACUUCUACAACAACAACAACAACAAUUGCAGCAAUUCGGUCGUGGCACGAGCACCAAGAUCAUCAUCAGCACAGAUCUAUUAACUUAUUUCUUAUAUGCAGUGAGCUUUACGCAACUUGAUGCCUACAAGUCGGACAAUGACCGCCUGAAGGAGGAGAACGCCGCGUUGAUUAGAGUAAUUAGUAAAUUAAGUAAAUGAAA